GUGGCGGGGCUGUGCAGGUCAGCCGCGGGUGGUGGAGGUGGAGCUGGUGGUGGAGGUGGAGCUGGAGGUGGAGGUGGAGCUGGAGGUGGACAGGGGCUGGGAGGGACCUGACGGGGGCUUGGCGACUAGAGGCCCGUCAUCAUCGGAGGAGUUGUCCUCGGACGCUCCCAGGAUGAAGGCCAGUUUGGGCCGGGGACUCUUGAACGCCAUCAGGGGGGGGAGUGCGGUGGUCGGCCGGCUCUCGGCCUCCCCGCCGCCGGAGGUCUGCUCCGGGCGGGGGUCUCCUACCGCCGCUCCUGAGGCCCCUGGAGGCUGUGGAGCGGCACCUGUCGCCGCGCCGCCCACCUGAGAGCCGCGGUCCUCCGGGCCAGCGGGGGCAGCGGUGCUGCGUGGGGCGGCGGGCUGCUGGGGCUGUUCCUCCGGGCCAGGGGGGCGUGUGCGUCAGCGGGCAGCUCCUCGGGCACCGCAGCGGAGGCUUGUCCUCCUCCAGGCAUCCCUGCCGUGGCCUCGGGGUGCGACCGCCAGCGUAGGAACAAGAGCACGAGCGCGACUAAUCCCAGCAGGGCGAGAGGCAGCAUUCAACAGCAGCCGCUCUGUACUGCAUGGAGAGCGCAGAGACUGGAUCAGAUACAUGUGUUCACAGACUCUGAACGGACCUGUG
ensembl:lncRNA